AGAGUUUGAUCCUGGCUCAGGACGAACGCUGGCGGCGUGUUUAACACAUGCAAGUCGAACGAGAAUCUAUGGAAAGAGGAUUCGUCCAAUUGAAAUAGAGGACAGUGGCGGACGGGUGAGUAACGCGUGAGGAACCUGCCUUUCAGAGGGGGACAACAGUUGGAAACGACUGCUAAUACCGCAUAACACAUAGGAGUCGCAUGGCUCUUAUGUCAAAGAUUUAUCGCUGAAAGAUGGCCUCGCGUCUGAUUAGCUAGUUGGUGAGGUAACGGCCCACCAAGGCGACGAUCAGUAGCCGGACUGAGAGGUUGAACGGCCACAUUGGGACUGAGAUACGGCCCAGACUCCUACGGGAGGCAGCAGUGGGGAAUAUUGGGCAAUGGGCGCAAGCCUGACCCAGCAACGCCGCGUGAAGGAAGAAGGCUUUCGGGUUGUAAACUUCUUUUGUCAGGGACGAGCAGAAGACGGUACCUGACGAAUAAGCCACGGCUAACUACGUGCCAGCAGCCGCGGUAAUACGUAGGUGGCAAGCGUUGUCCGGAUUUACUGGGUGUAAAGGGCGUGUA
rnacentral:rRNA from 1 species